UUUUCAUUUUUUACCCUCAUUAAAAUUGUCUAAUUAGUCUACCUUAUUAAAUAUCUAAACUUCUUUUAAUUUUAUUUUUUUUCCUUUUAAAAUUAGAUAUAUAAUAAUUGAAAAGGCCUCACCAACACGAUAGCCUAAAAAUAUGUUUUUUACUUGAAGAGUCAACAAAUGUUCAUUUGGUAGUCCAUGUAAAGGUUAGCUGGAUUUGCUCGACAUAAUAUAACUAGAGAACUGUAAAACGCUUCACCGGAGCUGCAAGAUGUGCAUAAUUCUUGCCGGAAAAUCUAUCAUAAAGAGGAGGUGAAUUUUUGGAUUAGAAUAUGUCAACGUCGAUUCUUACAUGGACUAACACAUCACGAAAAUUUGCUGACCCAUUGAUUGGCUCAGAGUUGAAAUAUAACUCCUUGAUUGGCUCAAAUUUGUCAUGUAACACGUUUCUUUUUCACAAUAUUUGGUUUACUCUUUUAGAAAAGAUAAACUACCUACCUUUUGUUCACAAUUUGACUUUUAGAUCAUAAUAAAAUUGAUGCAUGGAAUUCACAAAGAACAAGUAUAUGUAUUGAUGCACGAUGAUUUUUAUGAUGUAUGGUGAUUUUCAAUAUAGAUAAA